rnacentral:tRNA from 1 species
GGGCUCGUAGCUCAGUUGGCUAGAGCGUUCGCUUGACGUGCGAAAGGUCACAGGUUCGAGUCCUGUCGAGCCCACCA